ensembl:lncRNA
GUGGCAACAUCACGACUUUUAUUUGUGGUGCCUGUGCUUUGUCUCGAAAAUACCUUCUCCCCCUCCUCACACAACAGUCAGUGAGGGGGCAGCAAAAAAUAGAAGACGUCCCUCCUAUUGCACAUGGACCCUACAUAAAGGCCCACCGGGGGACCGGCGGGACUCCUGGCACAUUCCUGGACCCUGCUCAGGAGGGGAGGGUGCUGGGGUGGCAUCACACGUGAGGCGGGGACCCCGGGCGGCCCCUCUGGUCCUCGGCUACUGGCCUUGCUUCCUUCCUGGCCCCUCAGCGACAUCCCCCCACCUGGCUCAGCCUCCCCUCCGUCCAGCCUCUGGCGGACCCCAGGCCCUGGGGACCUGUGCUUCCCUCGGGUCCCUCAUGGGGUCUAUGGCUUCUCGGCGGCUUCCCCAGAGCCGUCACUCGUGUUCCCGUGGGAAGGGUGCGUGUGGCAAAGCAGCUGUAUAAAUAUGGGUGCGGGCGAGUCCUCCAGCGUCACUUGGACAGCUUGCUGAUGACUCGGAUCAGUGCUGCAUUCUCAUCCUUGAGCCGCUGGUUAUCAGCGCGGAGGUCAGACAGGGCCUGGGGCACGGGGCGGGGUCAGCAGGGGGCCUGGCCGGGCUGCACCAGCCCUCGGUGGCCCCCCAAGCACCCACCUUCAGCUCCUCCUCCAGCUCGGCAGCCUUGUGCUCCAGGGCCCUGCGCUCCUGGAAUGCAGGGAGCGAGGUCAGAGCCGUGGGGCGGAGAACUGGGGGUGGUGGGCGGGGGCAGGGGAGGGUCAAGUCAGCGUGGGGCCUGUGGCUCCAGGAGGGCGGGCCUCUCUGCGAAGCGUUCCUGCCGCUGGCGAGGACAGAGCAAGGCACAGGUCUGUCAGAGUCACGCCCUGCCAGGCAGAGGAGACAGGGCCAGGGCCCAGGCUCUAUGAGGACACAGUCCAGACCCAGGGCUCCAGGCUCAGCCUCCUCCAUCAGACCCGGGGGCCGGCACCCACCCACCCCACACCUGUGUGGACCUCCGAGACUGGCGCAUGAGGCGGGAGCGCGCUUUCCGCUGGGAUUCGGACUCCUCAUCCCGUGCAGGCAUCUGGUAGGACCUGCGUGAAGGACCCGCGUGAAGGACCCGGACUCAGGGAGGGCCUGAGCUCCUAUCCCCAUCCCCUGCAGGCAGCAGCUCCCUCAGGAGCCCUGGUGACUCCUCUCCACUGGACAGGCAACUUCCUCCCUGGCCGCCUCACCUCCGCCGGUCACGGGAGUCCGCUGGGGCCGGGGUGGAGGCUGGGGGGACAUUUGGCUUCGCUGGGGACCCCAGCUCCCUGCUGGAGGGAGGAGUGCAGUUAUACAAGGUGGGUGGGGGCCUGGCAACCCCAGACCUGUUGAAUGCGUUCAUUCAGGAAACAGCGCUCGGGCACUGAGACACAGGCGAGAACCCAGAGCUAGGUCCCCAGCAGAGAAGAUGGGGACGACCAAGCGCAGGCCUCUCAGGGCAUGACCAGGCACAUGGGGACACGGGACUAAAGAAGGGCCCCAGGCCGGGCGAGAGGUGUGCGUGCGGGACUCGGGGCGGGAGUGUGGUGGUCUCAGUGGGCCACAGGCAGAGGACGACAUCUGAUCAGAGACCUGAGGGAGGCAGGGAAGCAGGAGGGCAGAGAUCCAGUGGAGGAACCAAGAGGCCCGGUCACUGUGGCCCAGAAGUCCCACUGGGAGCUUUCCCUUGAUUCAACAAAUGGAAACUGAGGCAGCGUGUUAGGGAAGAACAGGACCCCAGACCUGCCAUCCAGGCCCAGGACUCACAGGGGACAGGGCUCCGGGGUCUUCCGGGAGAGAGUGGGGGGAAUCCCGGCAAGACAGGGCUCCCUGGCCUGUGGAGAGAGAGGAUGUGUCUUCUCCCCAUCGGGACAAGCUCCUGGCCCGGCCACUGCAUGCCACCCACCUGCGCCAAGGUCCCUUCCAGCCAGGACGAGGAGGCCGAGCGCUGCAGCCCAGCCCCAGUGGCUGCCUCGGCCCCCCCGCCUCUCUGUAGGCCCCAAAGCCCCAGAGCUCCCAGUCUUCUGGAGGCCAAAACGCUGAGAGCAGGGUGCAGCAGUGGCGGCGGCAGGCAGCUGGAGGGAGGGAGGGAGGUCGGUCUCCGUCAGAGAAGCAUCUGUCCCUGGAGCGGGAGCCGGACAGCUGCAGCUGCCAGCAGCGCAGAGGCAGCGGAGGUAACAGAUUUCCGUAUCGCAUGCCCGCCUCGGCCUCACAGCCCUCACAGGGACAGACUCACCACAGGGCUCGGGGGACUGGCGAGGGGCGGGGAGGACACGCCAUUGAGGGCUCUGGGUUCUGCAGGGGGCGGCUCUACGGGACAAGGUGUAGGUGCCACAAUACGCCAGGUGUCUCUGGAGACGGGACAGCCAGCCUCCUCCCUCAGACCCGGGGUCCAGGCCCAGCCUCCUCCCUCAGGUCACAAGCCUCCCCCGGGCCCCUACCUACCGGGAUGGCCCUCUUCCCCUUCCUCCUCGUCCCGGAUGGGCGGCCCCCCUGCCCCGCCUGGCCUGCGCUCCUUGGACAGGUCCUGCAGGGAGAUCUUCUCGCGGCUGCUCAGGCGGCACACAGAGCUCCUGGGAAAGGAGCGGGUGUCGGUGUUCGUGUCCGUGGGUCCAUGUCAUCCCCGC